rnacentral:rRNA from 1 species
GUUAGUUGGUGGGUAAAGGCCUACCAGACAAUGAUGCAUAGCCGAGUUGAGAGACUGAUCGGCCACAUUGGGACUGAGACACGGCCCAAACUCCUACGGGAGGCUGCAGUAGGGAAUCUUCCACAAUGGGCGAAAGCCUGAUGGAGCAACGCCGCGUGUGUGAUGAAGGCUUUCGGGUCGUAAAGCACUGUUGUAUGGGAAGAAAAGUUAAGGUAGGGAAUGACCUUAGCCUGACGGUACCAUACCAGAAAGGGACGGCUAAAUACGUGCCAGCAGCCGCGGUAAUACGUAUGUCCCGAGCGUUAUCCGGAUUUAUUGGGCGUAAAGCGAGCGCAGACGGUUGGUUAAGUCUGAUGUGAAAGCCCGGAGCUCAACUCCGGAAAGGCAUUGGAAACUGGUUAACUUGAGUGCAGUAGAGGUAAGUGGAACUCCAUGUGUAGCGGUGGAAUGCGUAGAUAUAUGGAAGAACACCAGCGGCGAAGGCGGCUUACUGGACUGUAACUGACGUUGAGGCUCGAAAGUGUGGGUAGCAAACAGGAUUAGAUACCCUGGUAGUCCACACCGUAAACGAUGAACACUAGGUGUUAGGAGGUUUCCGCCUCUUAGUGCCGAAGCUAACGCAUUAAGUGUUCCGCCUGGGGAGUACGACCGCAAGGUUGAAACUCAAAGGAAUUGACGGGGACCCGCACAAGCGGUGGAGCAUGUGGUUUAAUUCGAAGCAACGCGAAGAACCUUACCAGGUCUUGACAUCCUUUGAAGCUUUUAGAAAUAGAAGUGUUCUCUUCGGAGACAAAGUGACAGGUGGUGCAUGGUCGUCGUCAGCUCGUGUCGUGAGAUGUUGGGUUAAGUCCCGCAACGAGCGCAACCCUUAUUGUUAGUUGCCAGCAUUCAGAUGGGCACUCUAGCGAGACUGCCGGUGACAAACCGGAGGAAGGCGGGGACGACGUCAGAUCAUCAUGCCCCUUAUGACCUGGGCUACACACGUGCUACAAUGGCGUAUACAACGAGUUGCCAACCUGCGAAGGUGAGCUAAUCUCUUAAAGUACGUCUCAGUUCGGACUGCAGUCUGCAACUCGACUGCACGAAGUCGGAAUCGCUAGUAAUCGCGGAUCAGCACGCCGCGGUGAAUACGUUCCCGGGUCUUGUACACACCGCCCGUCACACCAUGGAAGUUUGUAAUGCCCAAAGCCGGUGGCCUAACCGUAAGGAGGGAACCGU